rnacentral:rRNA from 1 species
UACGUAGGGGGCAAGCGUUGUCCGGAAUCACUGGGCGUAAAGCGCGCGCAGGCGGUCAUCUACGUCUGGGGUGAAAGCCCGGAGCUCAACUCCGGGAUUGCCUUGGAUACGGGAUGACUUGAGGAUCGGAGAGGCAAGGGGAAUUCCACGUGUAGCGGUGAAAUGCGUAGAUAUCAAGAGGAACACCUGCGGCGAAGGCGGGUUGCUGGUCUGACACUGACGCUGAGGCGCGAAAGCCAGGGGAGCGAACGGG